rnacentral:rRNA from 1 species
UACGAAGGGGGCGAGCGUUGUUCGGAUUUACUGGGCGUAAAGGGCGCGCAGGCGGCUCAUUUUGUCAGGCGUGAAAUCCCCGGGCUUAACCUGGGAACUGCAUUUGUGACUGCAUAGCUAGAGUACGGUAGAGGGGGAUGGAAUUCCGCGUGUAGCAGUGAAAUGCGUAGAUAUGCGGAGGAACACCGAUGGCGAAGGCAAUCCCCUGGGCCUGCACUGACGCUCAUGCACGAAAGCGUGGGGAGCAAACAGG